rnacentral:rRNA from 1 species
AGCGUUGUUCGGAAUUAUUGGGCGUAAAGGGCUCGUAGGCGGCCAACUAAGUCAGACGUGAAAUCCCUAGGCUCAACCUAGGAACUGCGUCUGAUACUGGAUGGCUUGAAUCCGGGAGAGGGAUGCAGAAUUCCAGGUGUAGCGGUGAAAUGCGUAGAUAUCUGGAGGAAUACCGGUGGCGAAGGCGGCAUCCUGGACCGGCAUUGACGCUGAGGAGCGAAAGCCAGGGGAGCAAACGGG